AAUAUUAAAACUUCAAAAACCUUAUUUUUACAAUGCAAUAAAGUUUUACAAAGUUGUCCCAUUGUAGGCAGACCUAUGCCAACCUACUUGUAAAAGUCCAAGGAAGCUGAGAGGACAAAUAAUGUGGCUGACAUAUACAGUUCCUCAGAAAGAAACAUAUAAACAUAUAAUGGGCAUUUACAAUCAGAAGCCAUGUCUGUUUCUUAGGGAGCAGCAAAACAGGAUGGUGAGUCUGCAUGCUAUUGUGGCCCAGACCCAAGGAAAGAAUAUAUGUGCUUCAGAAGGGGUGUAUAGGACAGUUGCUUAAAGGUAGGAUUAAUUGUAAGUAUGAUAACAUCAAAGUUGUCUUUACCCAAGGGCAGGAUUCACAGUAAGUACAUGCUCUUACACAAGGAAGAGUAGAUAUAGCAGAAAUCUUAGAGGGCUUCUCCAAACCAGUGUUAAUCAGAAGUCAACAUGAUGGAUUAGUAUCCAAGAUGGAGUUGCUUUAGCCUUCACAAAAGUAGCUACUUAGGUCAAGACAUCAGCACACUUAAAACCUUGCUCAUGCCUCCAUUCAGUCAUUAAACGUCUCAAGGAAAUGAUAUUUUUACUUCUAUCAUCAUGCUAUGGCUUGAAUGUCCCCUCCAAAAUUCAUGCUGAAAUUUAAUUGCCAUUGUAAUAGUGUUGAGAGAUGGGACCUUUAAGAGAUGAUUAGGUCAUAAAGGCUCUGUCCUCAUGAAUGGAUUUAUGCUGUUAUUGCAGGGGUAGGUUAGUUUUCUUGAGAGUAAUUUCAUGAUAAAAGGAAGAAGUCUGGCCUUCAUCCUCUCUGACUCAUGUACUUGCUUGCCCUUCUGCUUUCCACCAUGGAAUGAUGCAGCAUGAAGGCCUUUGCCAGAAUUAGGUGCCAUGCUCUUGAACCCCUCAGCCUCCAUAACUGAAUCUAGCAGCCCAAAGGGACAUUGCAAAUAGUAAAGAUGUGGGCUACGGAACAGCAGGCUUAAAACUCCCUAUCAAAGUGGGAAAUAAAAGGUCAUUCUCAAAGUGGCAGCCAAAGAGAUAUACUAACAAACAACAUUGAUGAGAAGGAGAUUCUGUUAAUAGGAGGAAGGAAAAGCAUCAAAGGCCCCCAAGUCUCAUACAGGGCUACUCCUUCAACCUGGGUUCCAGAAGGAAGAAGACAUGGAGCAAAACUGUAUGGACAAUGUAAUGUGAACAAGAAAUAAAGCAUCAUUUUUGUAAUAAUUUGCAGGGAAACUCAUGUUAAUGUUAUUCCACUAGACUAAAUCACCCUCCCCACCAAUUUGGCUGAUUUAUUCAGGCCCCAGCUGUCUGACCCAUGCUUCAAGUGCCAUCUCUUAUAAGAAGUCUUCAGUGAUUCCUCUAGCUAAACGUAAUCCUACCUACUGCAUAGAAUUGUUAGGAAGAGUAAAGAACAAAUUUAUCAUUCAUUUUUCCAGACACUGGACAUACACUAAUCAAGAAAAAGACAAAAAAUCUCUCAUGAAGUUUACAUUAUAGUGAAAGAAACCAACAAUUAAAAAUGUAAGUAAAAUGUAUUAUGUGUAGAGCUAAAUGCUUAGGAGAAUAAAACAGAAAAAAGUGAUAUGAGAUAAGCAUAUGUGGUUGAAAUUUAUAUAGGACGAUUGGGAAAGGUCUCAUUGAGAAAGUGAUUUUUGAUUAACAAUCAGUAAGUAAGAAGGUGAGCUCUAUGGGGAUCUGGCAAAGAAGAACUCCGGGCAAAGGAAAAAGAAAAUACAAAAUUCUCUAAACAGGACUUGUGUUUGGAAUAUUGGAGGAACAGUGAGUAGGUGUGUGGCUAGAGUAAAUGAGUGAGGGGUAACAAAUAGAGAACGAGGUCAAGAGAUCAGAUACGUAGAUUAUAUAAGGACUCAGUUAUCAAAUACUCCAAUCAAUCGGUUAUUAGCAAUUAGUUUUUAUAAUUAACAAUAAAUAUUUCCCUACUUGAGCACUCAAAGUGCACUUUAAUGGUACCUCCUUAAUGGUGCUUAUCAUUCUCUUUCUGGCAUUCAUGGCUAUUCUUUUCUAUCAGAUCAUAAGAUUAAAUCUUACUUAUCAUUUUGUACCUUUCAACAUUACACUGAACAAAUUGCUGCCCACAAAGUUAUGAGACUAAAACCCGAAUCACUUAAUUGACCUUUACUGGUGUUUUUAUCAUAGAAAAAUGGCCAUAAACAUGGCUCACUCUCACAUCAGCCAAAGAAGGAUUCACUGAAAUUUUACAAGUUUUAUUUAGUCACCGUCCAAACACCUGAUGAUUGACCCUAUGUAGAUAUGUACUUUUCUAAAUUUUGUUUGAGACUAUUAAUGUUCUCUACAAGUUGCCUAGAUGGUCCAUAUUCAUUCAGUAAGUCAGCAAAUGCAAUUCAAUGACUACCACAUGCCAAGCAUUAUGAGGAUACAGUGGUCAAUAUGAUAGACAUUAUCUCUGUUCUCUAAAACUUACACUCCAGUGGGGAAAACAUUCAAUUUUGUAGUUGUAAUGCUUCUGAUAUAAAAGUGAAUGUUUUUGCUUCUAGACUAAAUUAACAUUUAACUAUGAAAGUUAAUGGUAAAUAACAACUACCAUUUACAGAGCUUUUAUGUGCGCCAAGCAUGUGUGAAAUACUUUAUAGGUAUUGCUCUAUUUAAUAUUCAUACAAUCUAGAGAAGUAGAUAUCAUUCCUAUUUUCUAAAUGAAAACACUGGGGCACUGAUAGUUUUAAAAUUUUGUUUCUGAAAUACAGACAGUGUUUUGCAGAACUGAGAUUUCAACCUAAAUCUGCCUAACUUCAAUGUCUUAUUCUUAACCUCAUAGACUGUGUUUCUAACCAGUUACCUCUUUAGUGUAUUAUAUGAAGUUUUGUAUAUAUUAAUUACUUUAGUAUGGCAAAAUGUCAGGAAGAAGUAGGGGUUAAUUUUGGGCUUCCCGUAACAGUUUUCUCAUCAUGUCUGAGCACUGUAAAUGUCCUAAAAUAUCCAAGUUAUCAGAUGUUACUUCAUGUGAUAUUGAAAAUUAGUGUGUGAGUGACCGUAAGGAGAGCAGUAAGAGUAUAAGUAGGAUUCAGGACAACUCAAAGAUAGCCCAAGCAUAUUAAUUCUUAGUGAAGGUAAUACCUAAUUAUUCUAAUUAGUUGUUAUUUCGAGGAUUUUUUGUAUAUGUCUUCACAAACACUUCAUUGUUGCUUGAGCUAAUUUUAAGAAUGCAAUUUAAGAUACCAUGUCAUAAUGAAGCAGCAUCAUUGUCUGGGGUAAAUACCCAAGGUUCAUUGUCCUCCUCCAAGAAGAUUAAGAACACAAACACACAUGAGGAGUGAAUUUAGGAGCAGAGGUUUCAUAGGCAAAUGAAAGAGAAAGGAGAGCACCUCGCUCUCUCUCUUGUGAGAGAGGGGAAUCCAAAAGGGAAAAGCUGGCCUGCAGCGGACGGUAGCAGAUUUUGUAGGCAGGCUUGAGGAGGUGGUGUCUGAUUUACAUAGGGCUCACAGAUUGGUUUGACAGAUGUGACAUUUACAUAGCAUGUGGGGAAGGCUGGUUGCCCCACCCUAAUCUUAUUAAGCAAAUAGUCUUUCCACUUGGCCAGCGCCAUCUUGUCUGAUCCUUACUGUACACGUGGCUGGCCAAGAGAAGAGAAGAUGGAGCGGCCAUUUUGAUCAUGCCUAGUCCCAGAAUAUAUCAGCUGUGAAAAUAAGUGAAAGAAAGAUUUUCUUAUCUCCAACAUUUCUGGGAAGGGGUGUGUCUGUGGAUUUUAUGUUACUGGAAAGAGACAAUCCAGUAGUCCACUUUGUCAGGAGUGUUUCAAACAACAUCUGUGAACCCACUGGACUUCAAGCUCCUACAGGCUAGAGAUUUGGUCUAUUUCAUCUGCAUUGUGAAAGGUCCUGGAGACUGAGAAUCAGGAAUUACUAGACUAUAAUGGAUGAGAUUUAUAAAAAAUAAGAUGAAGGUAAGCAGCUGUGCACAGCUGCUCUGCUAUAUUGGGAGGAAACUAGAACAAAGACACAAAACAAGAGUUGCAAGGGUAUAUGUACAUGUUCUGCCUGUGUUUAAGAGCCUAUCUAUGUUGCAUUUUGAGUUAUCUUGCUGGAGGAUAAGUUUGCAAGUUUGAGGCAAAAAGGCUUUGUGCUCUUGUGGUAAGAUCAUCAGGGAACAGCUCUCUGGAGGUGGUGCAGUGCAUAAGAGAGAAACUGGCUAGUGGUGGAAAUAAUACACUCCUUGGAAAAAGUAAAAGGAAAAUGUAAAAUGGAGUCUACCUUCUGGAUGCAAAGAAAUUCUCAUCAUCACGUGAUAGCAAGAUAGAAAAUAUGGUGACAACAAAAUUUUGACCAUUUAUAAAUAAUAAGUGAACUUCCAAAAAAGAAGGGAAAUGUUUGGAGACCAAAAUUAAGAGAAGCCACAAUGGUUUUGAUAUCAGGAUGAUGCUGGCCUCAUAAAAUGAGUUAGGGAAGAGUACCUCCUUUUCAAUUGUUUGGAAUAGUUUCAGAAGAAAUGGUACCAGCUCCUCUUUGUACCUCUGGUAGAAUUCAGUGUAAAUCUGUCUGGUCCUGGGCUUUUUCUGGUUGGUAGGCUAUUUAUUACUGCCUUAAUUUUAGAACUCCUUAUUGGUCUAUUUAGGGAUUCAACUUCUUCCUGGUUCAGAUUUUGGGAGGGUGUAUAAGAAUUUAUCAAUUACUUGUAGAUUUUCUAGUUUGUUUGCAUAGAGAUGUUUAUACUAUUAUUUCAUGGCUGUUUGUAACUCUGUGGAGUCAGUGGUAAUAUCCCUUUUAUCACUUCUGAUUGUGUCUAUUUGAUUUUUCUCUCCUUUCUUCUUUAUUAGUCUAGCUAGUGGUCAAUUUUACUAUUUUUUUUUUUAAACAGCUCCCUCCUGGAUUCCUUGAUGUCUUGAGGGGUUUUUGUGUGUGUGUGUCUCUAUCUCCUUCAGUUUGCUCUGAUCUUGGUUAUUUCUUGUAUUCUGGUAGCUUGGGGUUUGUUUGCUCUUAAUUCUCUAGUUCUUUUAAUUGUGAUGUUAGGAUAUUGAUUUAAGAUCUUCUAGCUCUUUGAUACGGGCAUUUAGUGCUAUAAAUUUCCCUCUUAAAACUGCUUCAGCUGCGUCCCAGAGAUUCAAGUAGGUUUUCUCUUUGUUCUCAUUAGUUUCAAAGAACUUCUUGAUUUCUACCUUAAUUUCAUUACUUACCCAGGAGUCAUUCAGGAGCAGGUUGUUCCAUUACUAUGUAGUUCUGUGGUGUUCAUAUCUUAAUCUUGAGUUUUAAUUUGAUUGUGCUGUGAUCUGAGAGACUGUUAUUAUUUUAGUUUUUUUGCAUUUGCUGAGGAGUGUUUUACCUCUAAGUAUGUGAUCAAUUUUAGAGUAAGUGCCAUAUGGCACUGAGAAGAAUGUAUAUUCUCUUGUUUUGGGGUACAGAGUUCUGUGAUAUCUAUCAGGUCCACGUGAUCCAGAGCUGAGUUUAGGUCCUGAAUAUCUUUGUUAAUUUUCUGUCUCAACGAUCUGUCUGAUAUUGACAGUGGGAUGUUAAAGCCUUCCACUAUUAUUGUGUGGGAGUCUAAGUCUCUUUGUAGGUCUCUAAGAAUUUGUUUUAUAAAUCUGGGUACUCCUGUAUUGGCUGCAUGUAUAUUUAGGGUAGUUAGCUCUUCUUGUUGAAUUGACCCUUUAGCAUUAUGUAAUGCCCUUCUUUGUCUUUUUUGAUCUCCGUUGGUUUAAAGUCUGUUUGCCAGAUACUAGGAUGGCAACCCCUGUUUUUUUCUGUUUUACGUUUGCUUGGUAAAUAUUCCUCCAUCCCUUUAUUUUGAGCCUAUGUGUGCCUUUGCACAUGAGACGGGUCUCUUAAAUACUGCACACUGAUGGGUCUUGACUCUUUAUCCAGCCUGCCAUUCUGUAUCUUUUAAUUGGGGCAUUUAGCCCAUUAAUAUUUAAGGUUAAUACUGUCAUGUGUGAAUUUGAUCCUGUCAUCGUAAUGCUAGCUGGUUAUUUUGCAGACUUGUUUAUGUAGUGACUUCAUAGUGUCACUGGUCUGUGAACUUCAGUGUGAUUUGUAGAGGCUAGUCAUGGCUUUUUAUUUCCAUAUUAUGUGUUUCCUUCAGCUGCUCUUGCAAGGCAGGCAUGGUAGUAAUGAAUUCCCUCAGCAUUUGCUUGUCUGAAGAGGAUUUUAUUACUCCUUCGCUUAUAAAGCUUAGUUUGGCUGGAUAUGAAAUUCUGGGUGGAAAAUCCUUUUCUUUAAGAAUUUUGAAUAUUGGCUUCCACUCUCUUGUGGCUUGUAGGGUUUGUGCUUAGAGGUCUGCUGUUAGUCUGAUGGGCUUCUUCUGUAGGUGACCUGGCCUUUCUCUCUGGCUGCCCUUAACAUUUUUUCCUUCAUUUCAAACUUGGAGAAUUUGAUGAUGAUGUAUCUUGGGGAUGCCCUCUCUCACCACUCCUUUCAACAUAGUGGAAGUUCUGGCCAGCACAAUCAGGCUGGACAACAUGAAAAUGUCUGAUAAUACCAAGUAUUGCCAGAGUGUGGACCAAGAAAAACUCUUACAAAUACUAAUAAAACUGUAAACCAUGUGAAAAACAAUUUAAUAUUGACUGUAUCAUACCCUGAAACAGAAAUCCACUCCUAGGUGAUACAUUAACUAGAAAAAUUUUUAUGCACAUUCAUAAAGAGAUAUAAACAAACAUGUUCCCAACAGUAUUACUUAUAAUAGUAAAAACUGUCAUCAGAAUGUGAAUGUGGUGAGUUUAUACAAUUAACUAUUAUGCAGCAUCAAAAAUCAGUCAACCAGAGUGACACAUAUGAAUAUGAAUCAUUAUUAUUUACAUAAUGUUGAUAUUUUAAAAAUCAAAAGCAAUUUGCAAAAGAAUGCAUACUGUAUUAUAUCAUUUAUAUAAGGGUUACCUAUGCUAAGCGAUACAAAAAUAUUGUUAGUACUCAAAGUGCACAAAAUGUAUGAAUGUAUAAAUGUACAAAUAAAUACAAAAUUUAGAAAUGAGGUUAUCUUUUGUGUGUGGGGGAAUGGGGUGGACAGAGAGAGGAAUGGGAGAGGAGGCUUCAGUCAUAUCCAUAAUGCUUUCUUAAUGGGCAUAAUGGGUAUAUCAGUGGUCACUGUAUUUUUUCAUCUUAGGCAAAUUAAUGUUUACAAAAUAAUUAUUCAAAUGAAUUAAAAUCCACAAUAAAGAAGCAUUUUCUUUAGCUAGAACAGAUUGUUAAUUUGAGAGGCCAAUUUCAUAGUAAAAGCCCUCUAACAAAUUCAUUUGAAGAAAAAUCUUAAUGACCUACCUCCAUUUUCUAUUCAGAACCUCAGCCUGGUUUUUCAAAAACUAACCACAACAAAGCAUCACUGUCCACCCUUACAGUACCCCACUCAUACUGAUCCUGUCUUACUAAGGUCUACUGUCUCUGAGGUUUUCAGACCUUCAUCUUCAUGCAUCAAAAUUCAGUAAUGUUUUCUAUUUCCCUAAUUACCAGUAUCUAAUUAAGCCAAUCCUGUUAAGAUACUAACAACUCAAAAACUAAAAGUGUUAUCCUGUCUAUAUGUACUUUUAUUUUAAUGAGUAAUUGCCAAAGGGGAUAUCUUUUACGACAAGUGUAGCAUUUCAGGCAUCCAAAGGGAAAUAUUCAAAGAUAUUUGACAUCUUAUUGUUUAAUAUCGCCAUGAGUUUUAUUUUCAAAUAAGGUUAGUCUUGCUUAUCCUAAGAAGCAUUAUCAUUUCAAAGAUUUUAGCAGUGUGGGUCAAAGAAAUUGAUUAACAACUUGCAAAAUUUUAUAGCCUUAAUGUCUAAACAUUUAUAGAUGUAAUAGGAACAUCAAAUCUGUUAAAACUGCCUUGAUCUAAUUUGUAAAAUGGUGAUAGUUUUUAGUGUUGGGCCUCUGCUUGAACAACAUCCAAAGUAUAUUUAGCAUUUAUCUUUCUCCAAUUUUUAGACAGUCAUCUGCAUUUCCAGAGGGUUGAUGACAGGGCAGCUUGAAGUUUAAAGACAGCACCUGCAUUUGCAUUUCAAUAGUUCCAUAAUUCUAUGAAACCACUGAAAUCUCUUCAAUGUCUCAUUGUUUAAAUAGUAAAGGUGGCCAGAUUUUGUUCAAGAUUCAUAAUCUUACAAAAAUAUGGAGCCGUUGUAUUCAAAGCUUAUUCUAAAGAGAAUACCUUCUCUUUACACCUUAUAAUCCUGUUUGUUAAAACCCAUAACAAUUAGGUGGACAUCUGAACAUAUUUAAAGUAUUUUAUCCAUUGGAUUUUUAUGGUCCAAAAUCAAGAUUCUAGGACAAGAUAAAUGGGAAAGGAGGACAUGUAGUUUGAAAUGUGUUAUAUCAGCACCAUCAAUUUUUAAUUCGGGGUUCCAAAAUUAUCUUUUUCUCCAUUGGAAAGGAAUACGUUUGUUUCCACGUAGGAAACUACUUCCACUUAACACACAGAAGGUAACUUCAUUGGUAGGUAUGCUGCCUGUAUGCAAGGAUCUGCAGUUACUCAUAACUGGCUGUGUUUUUAAACAGAAUAAUUUUUGUCAAAUAUUUUGAUACAAAACAAUGAAGCCUGAAGUUAAAAUAAGAAAUUCUGGGCUCAAGUGCAGGGCAACUGGACACCCUUAUGAGAUGAGCCUUUGUGCCCUUCCUGUAAGUGUGGAUUAGAUUAUCCACCACCUAGAUUUAAGAAAGGAUUAAAUGAAAGAAUAUAUGUGAAAGUACUGUGUUGACUGUAUUAAAAAGAACUGGAAACCCA